AAAGUCAUUCUGCUACCGCCGGCUGCAGUACCUGAGCUCCAAGUUCCAGAUGCAUGUGCUACUCAAUGAGAUGAAGGAGCUGGCCGCCCAGAAGAAAGUGCCACACCGAGAUUUCUACAACAUCCGCAAGGUGGACACCCACAUCCAUGCCUCGUCCUGCAUGAACCAGAAGCAUCUGCUGCGCUUCAUCAAGCGGGCAAUGAAGCGGCACCUGGAGGAGAUCGUGCACGUGGAGCAGGGCCGUGAACAGACGCUGCGGGAGGUCUUUGAGAGCAUGAAUCUCACGGCCUACGACCUGAGUGUGGACACGCUGGAUGUGCAUGCGGUCUGUGCCAGUGGCGUGGGCUGUGGGACUGAGUCAGUCAGGGGACCAGGAGUCACGGGUGACCUGAGCCUUCCCAUGUCCCCCAGGACAGGAACACUUUCCAUCGCUUUGACAAGUUUAAUGCCAAAUACAACCCUAUUGGGGAGUCCGUCCUCCGAGAGAUCUUCAUCAAGACGGACAACAGGGUAUCUGGGAAGUACUUUGCUCACAUCAUCAAGGUAAGGAGGCAGCCUUCCCUGCCAAGCCUCGAGCCUGAGG
rnacentral:sRNA from 1 species